AUUAAACAGCAGAAACCUGAUUUAUGAAGGGAUGCGGCUGAUCAGCAGCAGUUCAGGUUAGCUUCAUAUUGCGAUUAAUCAGGUUGAUUUCAGUGUGUUAUUGAUUAAUCGCAACUUAAUUUCAAAUAAUGAACAAUUUAAGCAAUAUUUUUAUUUUUAAGACCAUUUUUUCUGCUAAAUUGUUAAAGAAAUAGACAUGAGCUCAUCGACGACAAUAUUUAUCAUUUUUAAUUUGAUCUUCAACCAUCAGAUUGGAGCAAAGUUCAGCUUUUCAGGAAUGUGGUUGCCGACAUUAGCAUUAGCGAUAGCUGCUAAUGCUAACUUCAGAAGCGUUAGCAUGCUGACAUGCUAGCAGUUAACAUUGAGAUGCCAUUUUAUGCUUGAAUAGCUUCAAUGACAGGCUAGCUUCUUUUAGCACAACUUGAACACAAUAAUAGUCUUUUCCAUAUCAAUUUAGAAGCUGAAUUGAACAGAGAAGCGGCUUCAUCAUCCAUUGCUGUCAGCGGAUUUAGCUUGUGCAUCAGAUUUGCAGUCGUAUCAGGAACAAACGGCUACAAAUGUUCCACUCUGAAAUUUUGUAUAAUUUUUUUAAUUGACUAAUUUCAUCAGCAUUGAUAUCGGAAGCAGCAGAUACUAUCAAGUAUUUAACAUAUCAAUAUCGGCCCAAUAAGUAAAACUGGACCAAUAUUAAUUAUUCAAUCAUAACGACCAAUGUUUAUUUACAUCCUGUUAGUUUGGGUUGUUGUUUGUUUGGUUAUGUGUUGUUGAUCCAGGAUUAUCAGUUCUCUAGCUGAUAAUCCUGUUAGUAAUAUCUGUUGUUUAUUCACAGUGUAGAAAGAACAGAAAAAUAUAAUAUUUAUAAUAUUGGUCAAUUUUCAUAUCGGUGCAUCGCCACUGGACAUUUUAGAAAAACUAAAAUCACACGACAUGCAGGUGAUCUGUUCUCAGUUUUUGAUUUUGAUUUUUAGGAACUAAAAAUUUAAAAAAUCUGAAUAUGUAAAUUAAACUUCAGCAUCUCACUAUGAAACAAAUAAAGAAAACUGAAGCAGGAUUACUUUUAAACAAAAUAAAUUUAAAAAGUGUCUGGAUGGAGAGGAAGAAAGUUUGUGCUUCUGAAUUCACCAAAGAUCUUUUCUUCCGCUGAGAGUCUCCACUCACCCUGACCUGACGCUGCAGGUGCUCCAGGUUCGCUUUCCCUCUUGUUUUAGGGUAAACGUCAGAUAUUAACAGGCUGUUAGAGUCAGCAGUUAGGAAUGCAGAGCUGCAUACUGUCAACAUGCAACAGCAGCGCAGAAACAAAGCCGCCUCAGAGAGGCUCUCCUUAACCAGGCCUAAUAACACAGACGAGUUUCAGGCAAGGUAGCUGCUGCUGCUGGAGUUAUCAACCAAAACUAAGAUAAACAAAGUUAAAGGUUCUGGAACGUUGAUCCAUGGAGCAGGAAGCACGAGUUUCAGGGAGGAAAAUGUCCAGGAUCUGAAACAAACCCAACAGUUUCUCCUCCGGCCUCCCCUCCAGCUCUGCGGCUGUUUGUUUCGGAUCCUGGAGCGUUGCCAUGGAAACGUGCAUUUAACAGCAGGUGAGGAGGAGGAGGGAGGAAACUCCUUCAUCCAACCGUCUGACUUGGUUUUCCUGCUCAGCCUGCAGCAGCAGAAAGCAAAGCAUGGAAAGUGAGAAGCAGGAGAGUUUUCCCCUUCAGAGACUGAGCUGGUUCUGUGUCGGUUCUGCUGGUUCUGGUAGUUUCUCUGUGAGCAGAAUGAAAGGAGGAUUUCAAUCCACAAACUGUUUCCAGAUCAGCUCGUUAGCAGUGAGGGACCCCGGCCAGGAUUCCUGCAUGGUGCCGUCAUGUGCAGCUGGGUGUCCCUCAGGAGGUCCAGACCCGGUCCAGACCGACGGCUGGAGGCUCAGGGCGGAGGGGCCACAUUUACAUGUUCCCAACUGGCUUCACUGAUCCAGUCUGCUGUAAAAAUAUGACUCAGAAUAAAAGUAUAUGGAGCCGUUUGCAAAGUUACAGGCCACAACAAACAUUUUCAUUCAUUUAUAUGUCAGUUUCAAACUAAAUGUUUAGUUUACAUC